GCCUCCAUAGCUCAAUUGCGCAGAGCAUCGGAUUUUUGAUCCGAGGGUUUAGGGUUCGAGUCCCUAUGGUGGCA
rnacentral:tRNA from 1 species